GGUUGUAAAGUGCUUGCAUUGAGGGCAUGGCUUCGUGCUGGAGUCGAUGCGGCUGAGUUCCAGGAAAUAUUUAUACUUGAUAAUGUCCUCAUGGGGCAGGUUAUAGAGGACAGUUGUUUCAUCCAGGUGUUCGCUGCACUCUGUGAUCGGGCAUUUUAUAUCUGCUUGUCCCAGCUGCACCUGGGAGCUGAGGUACCGCUUGAGGCACUCCUCACACACCGCC
rnacentral:lncRNA from 1 species